rnacentral:rRNA from 1 species
CACACCUGUUCGAGCGUCAUUACACCCCUCAAGCCUGGCUUGGUAUUGGGCGCCCCGGGCGAGAGCCCGCGCCUCAAAUUCAUUGAUCGGCCGGAUCUGCCGGACCCCGAGCGUUGCGGAAACGAAUUCGCUUAGGGGAGCCGUGCGUCCGCGCCGCCGACCGCCGCCUCCGGGCGGCAAUUUCAUUAGGUUGACCUCGGAUCAGGUGGGGAUACCCGCUGAACUUAAGCAUAUCAAUAAGCGGAGGAAAAGAAACCAACAGGGAUUGCCCUAGUAACGGCGAGUGAAGCGGCAACAGCUCAAAUUUGAAAUCUGGCGCAAGCCCGAGUUGUAAUUUGUAGAGGAUGCUUCGGGGCCGCGGCCGGUCUAAGUUCCUUGGAACAGGACGUCGUAGAGGGUGAGAGUCCCGUAUGCGACCGGUGGGCACCCCGCACGUAGCU